rnacentral:rRNA from 1 species
AAUAUUGGACAAUGGGGGCAACCCUGAUCCCGCCAUGCCGCGUGUGUGAAGAAGGUCUUCGGAUUGUAAAGCACUUUUAUUUGGGAGGACGGGCAGUAAGUUAAUACCUUGCCGUUUUGACGUUACCGACUGAAUAAGCACCGGCUAACUUCGUUCCAGCAGCCGCGGUAAUACGAAGGGUGCAAGCGUUAAUCGGAAUUACUGGGCGUAAAGCGCGCGUAGGUGGUUUGUUAAGUUGGAAGUGAAAGCCCCGGGCUCAACCUGGGAACUGCUUUCAAUACUGGCAAGCUAGAGUAUGGCAGAGGGUAGUGGAAUUUCCUGUGUAGCGGUGAAAUGCGUAGAUAUAGGAAGGAACACCAGUGGCGAAGGCGACUACCUGGACUGAUACUGACACUGAGGUGCGAAAGCGUGGGGAGCAAAC